rnacentral:rRNA from 1 species
GACUCCUACGGGAGGCAGCAGUGGGGAAUAUUGCGCAAUGGGCGGAAGCCUGACGCAGCAACGCCGCGUGAGGGAUGACGGCCUUCGGGUUGUAAACCUCUUUCAGCGCUGACGAAGCCUUCGUGACGGUAGGCGCAGAAGAAGCACCGGCUAACUACGUGCCAGCAGCCGCGGUAAUACGUAGGGUGCGAGCGUUGUCCGGAAUUAUUGGGCGUAAAGGGCUCGUAGGCGGUUUGUCGCGUCUGCUGUGAAAGCCCGGGGCUUAACCCCGGGUCUGCAGUGGAUACGGGCAGGCUAGAGUCCGGCAGGGGAGACUGGAAUUCCUGGUGUAGCGGUGGAAUGCGCAGAUAUCAGGAGGAACACCGGUGGCGAAGGCGGGUCUCUGGGCCGGUACUGACGCUGAGGAGCGAAAGCGUGGGGAGCGAACAGGAUUAGAUACCCUGGUAGUCCACGCCGUAAACGUUGGGCGCUAGGUGUGGGUUCCCUUCCACGGGAUCCGUGCCGUAGCUAACGCAUUAAGCGCCCCGCCUGGGGAGUACGGCCGCAAGGCUAAAACUCAAAGGAAUUGACGGG